rnacentral:rRNA from 1 species
UACGGGGGGGGCGAGCGUUGUUCGGAAUCACUGGGCGUAAAGGGCGCGUAGGCGGCCCGCACAAGUCUGCUGUGAAAACCCCCGGCUUAACCGGGGGCCGGCCGUGGAAACUGUCGGGCUGGAGGCUGGGAGAGGGCAGCGGAAUUCCCGGUGUAGCGGUGAAAUUCGUAGAUAUUGGGAAGAACACCGAUGGCGAAGGCAGCUCUCUGGACCGUUACUGACGCUGAGGCGCGAAAGCGUGGGGAGCAAACAGG